UGGACUCUGAAUCCAGCGAUCCG
rnacentral:piRNA from 4 species